GGAGAGGUCAGAGUGGUGCCCUGGGCACCAAGCUGAGAACUUGGCUUUUACCAGGAAUGAGGUGCAGCCAGGGGAGGCUCUGAGCCAGGAGGGCAUGACCUGACUCGGGUUCACAGGCUCCCUCUGGCUGUGCGUGGAGCGGACUGUAGGGGGCAGGGACGGGAGCAGGGAGACCGGGAGGAGGCUGCUGUGAUGGUCCAGGAGGCAGAGGAUGGAGGCCGGGCCAGGGCACUGGAGCAGGGGAGUUGGGUGUAAUAGAAACAAUGGAAAUAGAUUUGGGAGGUGGAGCGGGUGGGACUUGCUAACAGGCUAGAAAUGAGGGAUGAGGGAAAGAAAGACAU